CCAUGGGUGUGAUGUAAGUCGCUUUGGAUAAAAGCGUCUGCUAAAUGACAUGUA
rfam:Gasterosteus aculeatus cont1.005517, whole genome shotgun sequence.